CUAAUACUGCAUAAGAUUACAGUACCGCAUGAUACAGUGAUCAAAGGAGCAAUCCGCUGAAAGAUGGGCUCGCGUCCGAUUAGAUAGUUGGUGAGGUAACGGCUCACCAAGUCGACGAUCGGUAGCCGGACUGAGAGGUUGAACGGCCACAUUGGGACUGAGACACGGCCCAGACUCCUACGGGAGGCAGCAGUGGGGAAUAUUGCACAAUGGGCGAAAGCCUGAUGCAGCAACGCCGCGUGAGGGAAGACGGUUUUCGGAUUGUAAACCUCUGUUUUCGGUGACGAAUAAAUGACGGUAACCGAGUAGGAAGCCACGGCUAACUACGUGCCAGCAGCCGCGGUAAUACGUAGGUGGCAAGCGUUAUCCGGAAUUACUGGGUGUAAAGGGAGCGCAGGCGGGAUAGCAAGUCAGUUGUGAAAACUAUGGGCUCAACCCAUAGAUUGCAGUUGAAACUGUUAUUCUUGAGUGGAGUAGAGGCAAGCGGAAUUCCGAGUGUAGCGGUGAAAUGCGUAGAUAUUCGGAGGAACACCAGUGGCGAAGGCGGCUUGCUGGGCUCUAACUGACGCUGAGGCUCGAAAGUGUGGGGAGCAAACAGGAUUAGAUACCCUGGUAGUCCACACUGUAAAC
rnacentral:rRNA from 1 species